UACGGGGGGGGCAAGCGUUGUUCGGAAUUACUGGGCGUAAAGGGCUCGUAGGCGGCCAGCUAAGUCAGACGUGAAAUCCCUCGGCUUAACCGGGGAACUGCGUCUGAUACUGGAUGGCUUGAGUUUGGGAGAGGGAUGCGGAAUUCCAGGUGUAGCGGUGAAAUGCGCAGAUAUCAGGAGGAACGACCGCAGUGGCGAAGGCAGGUCGUCCUGGGCAGUUACUGACGUGAGGCGACCGGAAAGCCAGGGGAGCAAACGGG
rnacentral:rRNA from 1 species